CAUAGGUUAAUGAGGCGAACCGGGGGAACUGAAACAUCUAAGUACCCCGAGGAAAAGAAAUCAACCGAGAUUCCCCCAGUAGCGGCGAGCGAACGGGGAGCAGCCCAGAGCCUGAAUCAGUGUGUGUGUUAGUGGAAGCGUCUGGAAAGGCGCGCGAUACAGGGUGACAGCCCCGUACACAAAAAUGCACAUGCUGUGAGCUCGAUGAGUAGGGCGGGACACGUGGUAUCCUGUCUGAAUAUGGGGGGACCAUCCUCCAAGGCUAAAUACUCCUGACUGACCGAUAGUGAACCAGUACCGUGAGGGAAAGGCGAAAAGAACCCCGGCGAGGGGAGUGAAAAAGAACCUGA
rnacentral:rRNA from 1 species